AAAGAAUUAAAAUAGAGCAAUAUUUCUCUGAGAGCUGAGUAACCAUAAUGGAUAUUGCUGGUCAUUUGCAACCUCAUCUGAUUAUACUCCUGUGACUAAAGGUAAAGUCACAAUGGUUCCAACAGACCAUAGGUUGCCCAUGAGAGACAGAGAACUAAUGGUGGCUUAACCUGAGGGUCAUCACACAUCAGGCAGAUGCAAUCCAUCUGUUCAUGUGGAAAAUUCUCAAGACAGAAAGCGGUGCCAAUAAACUUUCAAUCAUAACAGGACAUCUUCUCUUUUCACAACCCAACACGUUCACUUGAAAAAUGAAUUUGCUA